GAUGAGAAGGCCCCAUCAAAAGUAUUUCUCAUAAUUCAUUUUGAGGCUCCUUCCCUGAACACAAAGCAGCUCUAACUUUUUCCAGUACAAUUGCUAUGCUUAGACCCACCCACACAUAUGAACAGAAGAACUCAUCAUGAACAAGAGUAGCAUCCAAAUUCCCAAGAGCUGAAAGUUGCUGAUGCUGUGAAUUCGGGUUUUAUCGAUUUCAGGAGAUGGCUUCAUGUGUUGCCCUUAGCAUGAUGUGAUUUCUUGGUUCUGCAAUGGCAAAGAGGAGCUGGUUCAAUAUAGUGAAGAGGUUCUUUGUUUCAGAGACACAGUCAAAGCAAAAAAAUAAGGAGAAGAGAAGGAAAUGGAUUUUUGGAAAGCUUAAGAUCAAAAGACUAGCCUCAUUAACUGCACCAUCACCACCAUCACCAUUAAAACAAAGGACACAAAAUGAGGCAGAGGAAGAACAGAGCAGGCAUGCU